rnacentral:tRNA from 1 species
AAUGAAAUGUCUGAUAAAAGAAUUAUUUUGAUAGAAUAAAGCAUGUACCUUGGUACUUUCAUUA